AACGCUGGCGGCAGGCCUAACACAUGCAAGUCGAGCGGUAGAGAGGUGCUUGCAUCUCUUGAGAGCGGCGGACGGGUGAGUAAUGCCUAGGAAUCUGCCUAGUGGUGGGGGAUAACGUUCGGAAACGGACGCUAAUACCGCAUACGUCCUACGGGAGAAAGCGGGGGGAUCUUCGGACCUCGCGCCAUUAGAUGAGCCUAGGUCGGAUUAGCUAGUUGGUGAGGUAAUGGCUCACCAAGGCGACGAUCCGUAACUGGUCUGAGAGGAUGAUCAGUCACACUGGAACUGAGACACAGUCCAGACUCCUACGGGAGGCAGCAGUGGGGAAUAUUGGACAAUGGGCGCAAGCCUGAUCCAGCCAUGCCGCGUGUGUGAAGAAGGCCUUCGGGUUGUAAAGCACUUUCAGCGAGGAGGAAGGGUUGUGUGUUAAUAGCACAUAGCCUUGACGUUACUCGCAGAAGAAGCACCGGCUAACUCUGUG
rnacentral:rRNA from 1 species